rnacentral:tRNA from 3 species
GGCACCAUAGCCAAGUGGUAAGGCAGAGCUCUGCAAAAGCUUCACCCCCAGUCCGAAUCUGGGUGGUGCCUCCA